rnacentral:lncRNA from 1 species
AGCUAUUGUUUCCUCCCAUCUUCAGAGCCAGUUUACAUCGACAAAAGAAAAAAUUAAAGAAAAUUGAGAUUUCCUUUAAUAAAUACAUAUUAUCAACUUUUUCUCAUAGUCAGAGAUGCUGAGAUGUUCAUGGGUGCCUGAAAGAUGUUGAGGAACAUUCAGAGCCUCCUCCGUGAGAAUAGAUUGCUAUUACCCUAUAAAAUCAUAUUUCAAAUGACUUUUCUUACAGUUGCCAAAGACUCAACUCAUGAUGAUAGAUGCAUACGCAAGGAUUUUUGACAAAUCCUCAAUGUAAAAGAAUAUGAGCAGAGCAGGAUCUUUACAGGAGACUGGAAAAGGAGGUGAUUCCCUCUCCGACUACUCCCCAAUACGUUUCACGCUGUGGCUGGAGAAUAUCUCUGGAAAAAUACCAACAUUUUCUUGAAGUGAAUUUACCUCUUUUAACCUGUGCACUCUGCAAUGCAGCGACACAGUGCCUGUACGUCUCCUCGGCCCAGAUCUUGGGAAACUUGCCUGUUUUGGUGUGCAUCAGAGAGACAUCUGGAUUCUUCUCCUGGAUCUGGCCUUGCUGACAGGAAAUGUCCUCUGACGAUCACAUGGCCCUGCCGAGGUGGAAGGAGUCCACCUUGGUUUAACACUUGAAAUUCAGCCUACGAAGGUUUGCCACCGGAACACAGGUGUUGUAGAAAAC